rnacentral:rRNA from 1 species
GACGAACCGUGCAAACGUUAUUCGGAAUCAUUGGGCUUAAAGAGCGCGUAGGCGGCGUCGUAAGUUGGAGGUGAAAUCCCAUCGGCUCAACCGUGGAACUGCCCCCAAUACUGCGAUGCUUGAGGGAGGUAGGGGCACGUGGAACUUUCAGUGGAGCGGUGAAAUGCGUUGAGAUUGGAAGGAACGCCAGUGGCGAAAGCGACGUGCUGGAUCUCUACUGACGCUGAGGCGCGAAAGCUAGGGGAGCGAA